rnacentral:lncRNA from 1 species
AAAAGAUACCCUGAGGGUCACAAGUUUGCAGCUCUAGUCCAGGCAUUGCAGAAAGUAGAGAUUAUCUAGCGGACUUCUUCCGGUGUGUGUUAUCCUUAGCGGUUCCUUGAGGCUGGAUCAAUUUAUUUUGGGUGCCUCUAAAGAUCAGUCAACUAAUAAUUAAGUGAAAUCUUCAAAUCUAAGUCGAUCCCUUACAGUCAUAUGAUACCCAAUCUCACCGAACUUGACACUCAUUCUGUGUGGGCUGGCUGUCGUUUUGAUUUUGUCUACGUAUGUACUCCAUCCGAUUCAGAACGAAUCACUAAAGUUGUACGGUACAAAAUAAUAAGAUGGCCCCCACCGUCCCCGGCAGCACAAAGCGCAGAUCCCAUAUAGCCAGUACAUAACCGAGGUGCCCCCUCCCUGCACCACCUCGCUAUGGCUGCCUCCCCCUCGUGGCGCCGCGGCCGUCCCCUCCCGCAGCGUCUUUCUUAAGGAGGUCUGUCUUUUUUAUAUUUGCUUUCUGCAAAAUAAAAAGUUCACAAUAAAAAGAUAAAUAUGAAAAGUUAAAAUAUUAAAACUUUUCGAAUCAGAAAUAAAAUGUAAAAGUUUAAAAGAUUACAAGAUAAAACUUCAAAAGUUAAAAGUCAACAAGCAGAAAAUAAAAAAAAGCCAAUAAUAAUAAUAAUAAUAAUAAUAAUAAUAAUCGUAAUAAUCGGACAACCCAUUUUUGGGCUGUCAGAAUUUGUCCGCCCAAAUUGGUUUUGGCGGUCGUACCGCAGAUGUGCGGUUUUAUUUGUGUGUCAUAGCUAUUAGGCAUUCAUUAAUGAAAUUGGUGUGCCUAAGACUGUAUUUUUCUUUGAUGCCUGA